CUCUAAGUCAAAAUCUUCUUCAUGAUGCUAAUUCAUAAAUCACAGUCCCAUUAAGGGUGAGAACAUGAGGAUAAAGAAGGGUGUGCACAGGGGUGUGGCUUGACUCACACUUCCUUCUUCUUCUGUGUUUCCUUGUAAAAGACUCUGCUGUUGAUUUUUUGGAACCUAUAUUUAACUGAAGGCCUUUUUAAGCGUUCCAAAAUUAGCAUCCAGAUGAAUAUUACAGCUGCUGUGAAUUAUGGAUGCACCUUCGCGAAUCAAACUCGUGUUGCAGCGAGUCGGUUUCACAGAACAUGUGGAGGAACGUGUCUGGGGCUCAGCUGUGGAGCAGGUCGUGCCACAUUUGGAAGAAUGGAGUGUGUCACUGCAGACCGUGAGAUCCAGCUGACGUCUCACCGUGAAGUAGAAGAGCUCCGUCUCCUGCUGGUUGGCCCGGCGUUUAGCCAGACUGGGUUUGUUCAAGUAGCCGUCCGACACGCUGGACUUCACCGACUCGGAGGACGGGCUGUGGGUGAAGCUCUGGGAGACGUCGUAGUCGUCCAGCACCGUCAUGUCCUGCAGGGUGGAUGCUGAGACAUGCAGAUGCAGCUCAUUAAUCCAGACUGGUUCAGCAUUUUUAUGCCCUUCAGGAUGAGUCAACAGCUGCCCUCUGAGCACACGGCGCUCCAGUCUGCCCCGCGACAACGACCACGACAGGACGCCUCAGCCUGCCUCACCGAGACGCUCCGGGGUGUUUGUUUUUAGAGGAUACAUCUGCUGCAUUAUCGUCCCAUUAGACCCGGAUAAAUUACCAUAACACUGAGGAAACUUUGGAGCUGACGGGGAAACGCUGAAGUCUUAAUCAGAGGGAUGUUUGACCACAGAGGAAACGUUCUGUUUUCAGAUCCAUCACACAGAUUAUUGGACAAACUGAUGGAGGAGCUGGAGCAGGAACUGAAGGUCUGCAGGGGAUAGAUCCAGAAGUGUUGUCCUGGUUUCAGACCUUAAUUAACGUCCAUGUCUCCAGCAUUUCUUAACCA